rnacentral:rRNA from 1 species
UGGGGAAUAUUGCACAAUGGGCGAAAGCCUGAUGCAGCGACGCCGCGUGAAGGAUGAAGUAUUUCGGUAUGUAAACUUCUAUCAGCAGGGAAGAAAAUGACGGUACCUGACUAAGAAGCCCCGGCUAACUACGUCGCC